rnacentral:rRNA from 1 species
AACCUCCGCAAUGUGAGAAAUCGCGACGGGGGGAUCCCAAGUGCCAUUCUUAACGGGAUGGCUUUUCAUUAGUGUAAAGAGCUUUUGGAAUAAGAGCUGGGCAAGACCGGUGCCAGCCGCCGCGGUAACACCGGCAGCUCUAGUGGUAACAAUUUUUAUUGGGCCUAAAGCGUCCGUAGCCGGUUUAAUAAGUCUCUGGUGAAAUCCUGUAGCUUAACUGUGGGAAUUGCUGGAGAUACUAUUAGACUUGAGACCGGGAGAGGUUAGAGGUACUCCCAGGGUAGAGGUGAAAUUCUGUAAUCCUGGGAGGACCGCCUGUUGCGAAGGCGUCUAACUGGAACGGUUCUGACGGUGAGGGACGAAAGUUAGGGGCGCGAACCGGAUUAGAUACCCGGGUAGUCCUAACCGUAAACGAUGCGGACUUGGUGUUGGGGUGGCUUUGAGCUGCUCCAGUGCCGAAGGGAGCUGUUAAGUCCGCCGCCUGGGAAGUACGGUCGCAAGACUGAAACUUAAAGGAAUU